rnacentral:pre_miRNA from 1 species
CUACUACUCCCUCUGUCCGAAAAUACUUGUCAUUGAAAUGGAUGUAUCUAGAUGUAUUUUAGUUCUAGACACAUCCAUUUUGAUGACAAGUAAUUCCGAACGGAGGGAGUAUUAU